rnacentral:misc_RNA from 1 species
GAUGAAGAACGUAGCGAAAUGCGAUAAGUAAUGUGAAUUGCAGAAUUCAGCGAAUCAUCGAAUCUUUGAACGCACAUUGCGCCCCCCGGCAUUCCGGGGGGCAUGCCUGUCCGAGCGUCAUUGCACCCCUCGAGCCCGCGCGGGUUUCGGUGUUGGGCCGCCGUCCCCCGGGGGGGGGACGGGCCCGAAAGGCAGUGGCGGCCCCGGGGCGACUUCCCGCGCGAUCGCAGCACCUCGCGGCCGAAGCGUUCGCCCCGCGGGCCCGCCUGGACCACCAGUGUGACGUACCGGUUGACCUCGGAUCAGGCAGGGAUACCCGCUGAACUUAAGCAUAUCAAUAAGCGGAGGA